GAUGAACGCUGGCGGCGUGCUUAACACAUGCAAGUCGAACGGAAAGGCCCAAGCUUGCUUGGGUACUCGAGUGGCGAACGGGUGAGUAACACGUGGGUGAUCUGCCCUGCACUUCGGGAUAAGCCUGGGAAACUGGGUCUAAUACCGGAUAGGACCACUUCUUGGAUGUUGUGGUGGAAAGUUUUCUCGGUGUGGGAUGAGCUCGCGGCCUAUCAGCUUGUUGGUGGGGUAAUGGCCUACCAAGGCGUCGACGGGUAGCCGGCCUGAGAGGGUGUACGGCCACAUUGGGACUGAGAUACGGCCCAGACUCCUACGGGAGGCAGCAGUGGGGAAUAUUGCACAAUGGGCGCCAGCCUGAUGCAGCGACGCCGCGUGGGGGAUGACGGCCUUCGGGUUGUAAACUCCUUUCGCUAGGGACGAAGCGUUUUUGUGACGGUACCUGGAGAAGAAGCACCGGCUAACUACGUG
rnacentral:rRNA from 1 species